UACGUAGGGGGCAAGCGUUGUCCGGAAUCAUUGGGCGUAAAGAGCGUGUAGGCGGUCCGUUAAGUCGGCUGUGAAAGUCCAGGGCUCAACCCUGGGAUGCCGGCCGAUACUGGCGGACUAGAGUCCGGAAGAGGUGAGUGGAAUUCCCGGUGUAGCGGUGAAAUGCGCAGAUAUCGGGAGGAAUACCUAUGGCGAAAGCAGGCUACUGGACCGUCACUGACUCUGAUCUGCGAAAGCUAGGGGAGCAAACAGG
rnacentral:rRNA from 1 species